rnacentral:rRNA from 1 species
GACGUAGGAGGCGAGCGUUGUCCGGAUUCAUUGGGCGUAAAGAGCACGCAGGCGGUUUGGCAAGUCGGAUGUGAAAGCCCGGAGCUCAACUCCGGACCUGCAUCCGAAACUGCCCGACUAGAGGUAGGUAGGGGAGAUCGGAAUUCCUGGUGUAGCGGUGAAAUGCGCAGAUAUCAGGAGGAACACCGGUGGCGAAGGCGGCAUCCUGGACCGGCAUUGACGCUGAGGCGCGAAAGCUAGGGGAGCAAACGGG